AAUCAACGCUGGCGGCGUGCCUAACACAUGCAAGUCGAGCGCGAAGGCGGGGCAACCCGCAAGUAGAGCGGCGAACGGGUGAGUAACGCGUGGGUGAUCUACCUCCGAGUGGGGAACAACAUCGGGAAACUGGUGCUAAUACCGCAUGACAUCCUCAGGUCACACUGAGGAUCAAAGCCGGGGACCGUAAGGCCUGGCGCUUGGAGAGGAGCCCGCGUCCGAUUAGCUAGUUGGCGGGGUAACGGCCCACCAAGGCGACGAUCGGUAGCCGGCCUGAGAGGGCGGACGGCCACACUGGGACUGCGACACGGCCCAGACUCCUACGGGAGGCAGCAGUGGGGAAUUUUCGUCAAUGGGCGCAAGCCUGACGAAGCAACGCCGCGUGGGGGAUGAAGGUCUUCGGAUUGUAAACCCCUGUCGACCGGGACGAAAGUACCCGACCUAACACGUCGGAAUAUUGACUGUACCGGUGGAGGAAGCCACGGC
rnacentral:rRNA from 1 species